AGUGAACGCUGGCGGUAGGCCUAACACAUGCAAGUCGAACGGCAGCACAGUAAGAGCUUGCUCUUACGGGUGGCGAGUGGCGGACGGGUGAGGAAUACAUCGGAAUCUACUUUUUCGUGGGGGCUAACGUAGGGAAACUUACGCUAAUACCGCAUACGACCUACGGGUGAAAGCAGGGGAUCUUCGGACCUUGCGCGAUUGAAUGAGCCGAUGUCGGAUUAGCUAGUUGGCGGGGUAAAGGCCCACCAAGGCGACGAUCCGUAGCUGGUCUGAGAGGAUGAUCAGCCACACUGGAACUGAGACACGGUCCAGACUCCUACGGGAGGCAGAAGUGGGGAAUAUUGGACAAUGGGCGCAAGCCUGAUCCAGCCAUACCGCGUGGGUGAAGAAGGCCUUCGGGUUGUAAAGCCCUUUUGUUGGGAAAGAAAAGCAGCAGGUUAAUACCCCGCUGUUCUGACGGUACCCAAAGAAUAAGCACCGGCUAACUUCGUG
rnacentral:rRNA from 1 species